UUGAUUAGAAGCCAAAGAGAGGCUUAUCAUUGUUAAUGAUAAAAUUGAAGUUAUUCCUAUCAAA
rnacentral:tRNA from 1 species